rnacentral:rRNA from 1 species
AACGCUGGCGGCAGGCUUAACACAUGCAAGUCGAGCGGGGAAAGGUAGCUUGCUACCUGACCUAGCGGCGGACGGGUGAGUAAUGCUUAGGAAUCUGCCUAUUAGUGGGGGACAACAUUCCGAAAGGAAUGCUAAUACCGCAUACGCCCUACGGGGGAAAGCAGGGGAUCUUCGGACCUUGCGCUAAUAGAUGAGCCUAAGUCAGAUUAGCUAGUUGGUGGGGUAAGGGCCUACCAAGGCGACGAUCUGUAGCGGGUCUGAGAGGAUGAUCCGCCACACUGGGACUGAGACACGGCCCAGACUCCUACGGGAGGCAGCAGUGGGGAAUAUUGGACAAUGGGCGAAAGCCUGAUCCAGCCAUGCCGCGUGUGUGAAGAAGGCCUUUUGGUUGUAAAGCACUUUAAGCGAGGAGGAGGCUACUUAGAUUAAUACUCUAGGAUAGUGGACGUUACUCGCAGAAUAAGCACCGGCUAACUCUGUGCCAGCAGCCGCGGUAAUACAGAGGGUGCGAGCGUUAAUCGGAUUUACUGGGCGUAAAGCGUGCGUAGGCGGCUUUUUAAGUCGGAUGUGAAAUCCCUGAGCUUAACUUAGGAAUUGCAUUCGAUACUGGGAAGCUAGAGUAUGGGAGAGGAUGGUAGAAUUCCAGGUGUAGCGGUGAAAUGCGUAGAGAUCUGGAGGAAUACCGAUGGCGAAGGCAGCCAUCUGGCCUAAUACUGACGCUGAGGUACGAAAGCAUGGGGAGCAAACAGGAUUAGAUACCCUGGUAGUCCAUGCCGUAAACGAUGUCUACUAGCCGUUGGGGCCUUUGAGGCUUUAGUGGCGCAGCUAACGCGAUAAGUAGACCGCCUGGGGAGUACGGUCGCAAGACUAAAACUCAAAUGAAUUGACGGGGGCCCGCACAAGCGGUGGAGCAUGUGGUUUAAUUCGAUGCAACGCGAAGAACCUUACCUGGUCUUGACAUAGUAAGAACUUUCCAGAGAUGGAUUGGUGCCUUCGGGAACUUACAUACAGGUGCUGCAUGGCUGUCGUCAGCUCGUGUCGUGAGAUGUUGGGUUAAGUCCCGCAACGAGCGCAACCCUUUUCCUUAUUUGCCAGCGGGUUAAGCCGGGAACUUUAAGGAUACUGUCAGUGACAAACUGGAGGAAGGCGGGGACGACGUCAAGUCAUCAUGGCCCUUACGACCAGGGCUACACACGUGCUACAAUGGUCGGUACAAAGGGUUGCUACCUAGCGAUAGGAUGCUAAUCUCAAAAAGCCGAUCGUAGUCCGGAUUGGAGUCUGCAACUCGAUUCCAUGAAGUCGGAAUCGCUAGUAAUCGCGGAUCAGAAUGCCGCGGUGAAUACGUUCCCGGGCCUUGUACACACCGCCCGUCACACCAUGGGAAUUUGUUGCACCAGAAGUAGGUAGUCUAACCGCAAGGAGGACGCUUACCACGGUGUGGCCGAUGACUGGGGUGAA